GGUAACGGUGAAAACCAUGGCGCCGCAGCCAAUACGACGGAAUCGGCUAAAAACGGCCAAGUCGGGCCGACGUCGGAAAACGUCCAACGACGCCGAGCGUACAGUCGGGUGGGCGCGCGCUGGUCGGGUAACGGUGAAAACCAUGGCGCCGCAGCCAAUACGACGGAAUCGGCUAAGCCUGGCAGAAAAUCUCUGCCGCGGCAGAGAAAUGGCCAUUUUCUCUGCCGCGGCAACAGUGUAGGGCUCCUUCACAAGCUGACGGGCAGGGGUCCCAGGCGGGGCUAAGUUCCCCAGGUAUAUUGGGGGGGGCUGGCAUCCCUCCCUGUCAAGUUGUGGGUUCGUCCCACAACUUUUCUACGCCCGUCACGUAGCAACUAUACGUUGCCGCGUGGCGUGUCACGCGGCGACGUUUAC